UACGAGGGGGGCAAGCGUUGUUCGGAAUUAUUGGGCGUAAAGGGCGCGUAGGCGGUUUGCCAAGUCUGAUGUGAAAUCUCUGGGCUCAACCCAGAGUCUGCAUUAGAAACUGUCGGGCUUGAGUAUGGGAGAGGUGAGUGGAAUUUCCGGUGUAGCGGUGAAAUGCGUAGAUAUCGGAAGGAACACCUGUGGCGAAAGCGGCUCACUGGACCAUAACUGACGCUGAGGCGCGAAAGCUAGGGGAGCAAACAGG
rnacentral:rRNA from 1 species